rnacentral:rRNA from 1 species
CUACGGGACGCUGCAGUAGGGAAUUUUGCGCAAUGGGCGAAAGCCUGACGCAGCGACGCCACGUGUGGGAAGAAGGGUUUCGGCUCGUAAACCACUGUCAGGUGGGACGAUGAGAUAAAUAAUUAAUACUUAUUUAUUUUGACGGUACCGCCAAAGGAAGCACCGGCUAACUACGUGCCAGCAGCCGCGGUAAUACGUAGGGUGCAAGCGUUGCUCGGAAUCAUUGGGCGUAAAGGGUGCGUAGGCGGAAUAGCAAGUCAGAUGUGAAAGCCUUGAGCUUAACUCAAGAAGUGCAUUUGAUACUGUUAAUCUAGAGUGCGGGAGAGGAAAGUAGAAUUCCUGGUGUAGAGGUGGAAUCCGUAGAUAUCAGGAGGAAUACCGGAGGCGAAGGCGACUUUCUGGACCGACACUGACGCUGAGGCACGAAAGCGUGGGUAGCAAACAGGAUUAGAUACCCCGGUAGUC